CACCUUAUUUCACUGUGUUGCGACGAGCAACCCGACACCGCCUUAUUGUUUUUAAUUCACAAUGACAAACAUCACAACAACAAUUACAAGAAAUCAACUAUAUCACAUUGUUAACAUAGAUCCACAACAAGGGUAAUACAAUUCCACAACUAGUAACAAAAAUUUGCUCAUGUUCAUCAAAUUGGUACACAAUUUAGAUCAUCAUAACAGUUAUUCAACACUAAUCACACACAUUGUUCCAUGAUAUUUCCAUUUCCACUAUUCCACAUUAUUCCCAUUUCCACUGUUCCACAUUGUUUCAAUUUCCACUAUUCCACAUUAUUUCCAUUUCCGUUGUUCCAAUCAAAAGUUCCACAACAUUCACCACAAGGUGUUACCACGCAAUUACACCACACAAAGCUUCAAAAUAAUUCUCACAUGUAUAUCUACUAUCAACAGUUUCACAACUAGGAUUGGGCGAAUUCACAAGGAUCACAGUUAGCCAUACAUACCUGGAGUUGAGUUUUCCCCUUUAAACCUGUAGUCCAAUUUUUCAUCAAUCAAGAAGUCAAUUUAGUUCAUGAACAACACUUAGGUUUUAAAAAUUUAAAAUCAUAGUUACUACCCAAUUCCGUUUUUACAAGAUUUUAGAGUUUUGAAGACAUGCAUGAAGGUUUUAUGAAGAAAAUUCAAAGAAAGUGUAUGGGGUUUCCUUCCCAAGCUUUAUUUCGAAAUUUGGGGGAAAUGGGUCAGGGAUUUUACCUGAGAAAUCAAUAGAGAAGACAAUGCACCAAGAAUUUUCCAAGCUAUAACGAUUUUGAAAGACUUGAUGAUGAAGAAUUCACUUUCUCUAUCAAGAACCCUCUCUCCCUCUCUCUCUUAUUUUGUUCAGAAAAUGGGUUAAAAAUGAGGGAUGGGGUGUUUUUAUAAAAGAGUGGUCGGGCUUAGAUUUUUAAAAAAAUAGCUGGGCGAACUCAAUCUGCGAUACGAAUCUGCGAUCGCAGAAUAGACAUGCGGUCUGAAGAAUGGACCGCUGAAAUGGCUCAAGUUUCAAACCCCUCGGGUUGGGAAUGCGAUAGAUAUGCGGUCCGCAUUUGAGUUCUGCAGUCGCAAAAUGCACCGCAGAACUGACCUUCGAAUUUCCUCAGGACAAUAUGCGAUCACUCUGCGGUCCGCAUAUUAAUUAUACGAUCGCAAAAUUGAUCGCAUUUCAACAUCAAAAAUUUGUUGCUCUCUGGUUCACUCUGCGAUAGGAAUGCGGUCCGCAUAGCUGAUAUGUGGCCGCAUUCUGGACCGCAUUUUGACAAUUUUUCUGGAAAAAUUUCGACUUCACAUUUUAAGUUCAAAACAGUAAAAAGAAUCUGAUCCACGCAGGUAGACUCGAUUCUAUGAGCUGCUAACAUCUGAGCACUCAUUUCACGAGGCCUUACAAACAUGUAAGUCCGAAAAAAUAAAUGCACAAAAAACAUGUAGGAUGCAUCAGGAUGGUCUUUUCAUUUCAGGUUGCUAGCCCUAGACGGACCCAACCCCUGUGUUGAGUCCCCUAAGUCAAAAUGCACAUGAUGCAAAUAAGCGUUCCUACUAGGGAUCUGACAUGAGGCUGAGUUAUUCUAGAUUCAGAACCUGGGUGUUUGCACUAGACUUGGCUUACCCAAGCAGACAGCUCGAGCCGACGGGGAGGUAGCGCUCCAGGAAUACAGAAGUUUCGCCGGCUUUGCCACUUAUCCAAACUUCGUUCUAAAUUGGGAAUUUGACACAAUAAAGAAAAGAAGUCACACGAAGUGCACCCUUCUUCAAGAUUUAGAAGACUCAGAGAGGAGAUGGGUUUCGGCACAGUUUACAUACAAUUCACAUAAUAUCAAAGCGGUAAAAGCAGAAAGUUAGCACAUUAAGCACAGAUCAUGUAACAAAUUCAGAUAACGCCAAACACAACAAAUUAUUGUAAGCUCGAAUUCUGAACCUUGAACAAAAUAAUCUGGGUUCUUGGUCCCAGCAGAGUUGCCAGAGCUGUCACACCUCCUUUUUCACUACACCCCGCAAGGGGCGUAGAGCAGUUUUUUCAAUUAAAGGACAAUCAGAACGAGAUUCAUAAUUAAGAAUUUAGAGUAGCAACUUGGGAGAUUAAUAGUGUCCCAGGUCACCGAUUGAAUCCCGAACCGAGGAAAUAAUGAAUGUGUUAACAGUCCGUGAAUCAGAAAUUCGGAUAUGGAAUUAUGUUAACCCCGGAGAAGGUGUUAGGCAUUCCUGGGUUCCGUGGUUCUAGCACGGUUGCUCAUCUACCGCAUUUAACUUAUUUAUCCGAUUUUAUUACAUGAAGAACCUAUGUGCCAAUUUUUACUUUUUAACUGCUUUUAUUCAAUAUGUACUUUUAAAGGAAGGUUGAACGUUGUUUAAAGCGUACCUUUGGAUUGCGUCACAUGAAAUGCACCCGCAAUCCUAAAUACACUUUAUUCAACAUUUUGGGAUGUGAUUUGAACAUUGGGAGUUCGAAUCCCUGUGAGCUCAAUUAACUCAGCCCUAUUUGGGCCAAAAUUGUGACCCAAGCUGGAUGCCCACGUCCCAACAUGCAUUUCAGCUUCAGCAGAUGGGCCCCUCACGCGAGGCCUGCUUAACAGCUAUCCAGUUGGACCAAUAAUCGAACCCCAGUGGAGGGCCUGAUAUUUGAUUCAAUGGCUCCCAUUCAUAUUUAACAAUUAACCAAACUAAGCACUUGUUACAGUUUUAUCAACUUACCUCAUCUACCAGCGUCAAAGAUCAAAUGGCAUACAUUAGCUACAUAAUGACACAUUAUCAAUACUCAUGCAAUUACCAAUAUUAAAAUAAGCUAAUGCAAUUGCAUACCCCGUUUUAGUUAUUUUUUUCUAAUUUCAAAGAGGUGAUUACACAUAAAUAAUACAAUAACUAAAUAAAGCUAAAAUACAAAUUCAAAUUUCCAGUUUGUAAGAUUAAAACCCUACACUGACCAUGAUCCACCUUAACAUUCUAAUAUUGUCCACAAGUGUAAUUUUAUAGUCUAAAUCAAUAAACAACAUUUAACUUAAUAGAUUUGCAGUAAUUCUAACACAAAAACUAAGCAACUACACACGAGGCAAAAAUUGAAUUUAGAAUGCUCUAGAUUCCAGUAUUGCCAAGAUGUUUCCAUUUCAGUCAGUGAAGUUACAAGAUUACUUGAGUGUGUACCUGAGAUUUUGACACAAAAUUGAGGGAAAGGAAAAGUUCAACAACGGUAGUGACUCUCAGCAUCAGCAGAAAUCAACUUAGACCUCAAUAGCAAUCAGUAAAUGAGAAACCACAGUCCAACAAGGAUUUCAACAGUUCGAAAUGAAUUAAAACCAAGCAGAACCCACAGAUUGAACCCAACAAAUGCACGAACACCAAUCCAAACAAAAAACCCCCCAAACUGACUUGACUAGCACCAAAUUUACUCGAAAAUGCCCCAGAUCACUUCAGUAAUUCCAAACUCAAACUAUAAUUAAAACGUAAAGAAAUUCACUGAUAAUCAGAAUCAAUCCAUAUUUAUUCAAUGAAAAAGUGGUUUUUUAGAUUUUUUUCUGGAAUAUUUUUACUGUUUGUUUUUUGGGAUUUUGAGGAUUUGGAAGAAGAAAGAAUGAUUUUGGAGCUUAAUUUUUGUGGCUCCUAGGAAGGUCCCUUCACAAGGCAAAUGCCUCACUAUUUAUAGGAAAACCUAAGGGUGGUGAAUCAGAUUUUGGCUUUUAUUUUUAGUCCCUCAUUAUUUUCAGUUUGGUCCCAGUAUUUCUAACUUGUUACUCAAGUUAAUCCCUUUAAUUUGC
rnacentral:lncRNA from 1 species